rnacentral:rRNA from 1 species
GAUAACCCCGGAAACCUGGGGAUAAUACCCUAUAGAUUACAGAUGCUGGAAUGCCCUGUAAUCAAAAGUUCCGACGCCUUAGGAUGGAUCUGCGGCCGAUUAGGUUGUUGUUGGGGUAAUGGCCCAACAAGCCAGUAAUCGGUACGGGUUGUGGGAGCAAGAGCCCGGAGUUGGAUUCUGAGACACGAAUCCAGGCCCUACGGGGCGCAGCAGGCGCGAAAACUUUACAAUGCGGGCAACCGUGAUAAGGGAACCUCGAGUGCCUGUAUACGCAGGCUGUCCAGGUGCCUAAAACACACCUGAAGAAAGGGCCGGGCAAGACCGGUGCCAGCCGCCGCGGUAAUACCGGCGGCUCGAGUGGUGGCCGCUUUUAUUGGGCUUAAAGCGUUCGUAGCUGGUUUGUUAAGUCUCUUGGGAAAUCUGGCGGCUUAACCGUCAGGCGUCUAUAGGAUACUGGCAAUCUUGGAACCGGGAGAGGUGAGGGGUACUUCGGGGGUAGGAGUGAAAUCCUGUAAUCCUCGAGGGACCACCUGUGGCGAAGGCGCCUCACCAGAACGGCUUCGACAGUGAGGGACGAAAGCUGGGGGAGCAAACCGGAUUAGAUACCCGGGUAGUCCCAGCUGAUAUUAUAGUGCGUUAGGUGUAUCGACGACCACGAGUCGUCGAGGUGCCGAAGGGAACCCGUGAAACGUACCGCCCUGGGAAGUACGGUCGCAAGGCUGAAACUUAAGGGAAUUGGCGGGGGGAGCACCCCAACAGGUGGAGCCUGCGGGUUUAUUUGGACUCACCGCCGGGAAAUCUCACCGGGAUAGGACAGCAGAAUGAUUGCCCGGGGCUGAAGACUCUGCCUGGACUAUCCUGAGCGGAAUGUGUCU